GAUGAAGGACGCAGCGAAAUGCGAUAAGUAAUGUGAAUUGCAGAAUUCAGUGAAUCAUCGAAUCUUUGAACGCACAUUGCGCCCGCCAGUAUUCUGGCGGGCAUGCCUGUUCGAGCGUCAUUACAACCCUCAGGCCCCCGGGCCUGGCGUUGGGGAUCGGCGGAGCCCCCCGUGGGCACACGCCGUCCCCCAAAUACAGUGGCGGUCCCGCCGCAGCUUCCAUCGCGUAGUAGCUAACACCUCGCGACUGGAGAGCGGCGCGGCCACGCCGUAAAACACCCAACUCUUCUGAAGUUGACCUCGAAUCAGGUAGGAAUACCCGCUGAACUUAAGCAUAUCAAUAAGCGGAGGA
rnacentral:misc_RNA from 1 species